rnacentral:rRNA from 1 species
GACGAACGCUGGCGGCGUGCCUAAUACAUGCAAGUCGAACGCUGAAGGAGGAGCUUGCUUCUCUGGAUGAGUUGCGAACGGGUGAGUAACGCGUAGGUAACCUGCCUGGUAGCGGGGGAUAACUAUUGGAAACGAUAGCUAAUACCGCAUAAGAGUAGAUGUUGCAUGACAUUUGCUUAAAAGGUGCAAUUGCAUCACUACCAGAUGGACCUGCGUUGUAUUAGCUAGUUGGUGGGGUAACGGCUUACCAAGGCGACGAUACAUAGCCGACCUGAGAGGGUGAUCGGCCACACUGGGACUGAGACACGGCCCAGACUCCUACGGGAGGCAGCAGUAGGGAAUCUUCGGCAAUGGACGGAAGUCUGACCGAGCAACGCCGCGGGAGUGAAGAAGGUUUUCGGAUCGUAAAGCUCUGUUGUAAGAGAAGAACGAGUGUGAGAGUGGAAAGUUCACACUGUGACGGUAACUUACCAGAAAGGGACGGCUAACUACGUG